AAGAUAAAUCUCAUUCUUUGCAAGAUCCGCACUGGGUAUUUCUUCUCUUCUUCUCUUCAUUCACACCUGUUCUCUCAUCUCUCUUCUCAAAUUCACCAGAUCCGCCAAAGACGCAGUCCACACCGGAGCUCCGCCUUGCCCUUCCUCCUUCUCUUUUCUCCUCCCACCCCGAUGAGAACUAGAAAGAGAACGGGAAGCUCUCAAGGCCUCAAUCAUCUUCUCCAGCCCUACAUUUUUGGAGGAUAAAUCACUAAUUCCUGUCAACCUCUGGAUGAACAAUGCUCAAGCUAGAUCAAGCACUCACUAUGAUCCACACCAUAGCCUUCUCUGCUUAGUUUCUUGCUGUAAACAAGUGGUUUUAUGGCCUCCUUCAGCAGCUCUGGUGUUAUACCCUAUGCCAAUAUUUGGGGAGGCAUCAAAUCAU